UACGUAGGGGGCAAGCGUUGUCCGGAAUCAUUGGGCGUAAAGCGCGCGUAGGCGGCCCUGUAAGUCCGUUGUGAAAGUCAAAGGCUCAACCUUUGAAAGCCGAUGGAUACUGCAGGGCUAGAGUCCGGAAGAGGCGAGUGGAAUUCCUGGUGUAGCGGUGGAAUGCGCAGAUAUCAUGAGGAAAACCAGUGGCGAAGGCGGGUCUCUGGACAGUUCCUGACACUGAGGCACGAAGGCCAGGGGAGCAAACGGG
rnacentral:rRNA from 1 species